GCGAAUUUUGGGGCUCGAUUCAUUCAAAUCUGAAGCAAGGUAGCUAGGGUUUUGCCAGCCGGAACACGGCGGCUACAAGGGCCAAGCCCAGAAUAAUCCAGAAUGCCCUCUCCACAAACCGGAGGAGGGUUUAUAAAGGGAUAUUCAGAGAAAGUAGAAAGCGACAUGUUCGACAGGUAAAAGACAUCGCGGUAACUUUUAAAAAGUAACGCGCGACGACUCCAGCCGUCCAGAUGACGAUCGACGGUUGUGGGCACUCUCAGCAGCGAACCUGUAAGUUCUUCUCGUAGCCACCAGAUCGUAGAUCGACGGUCGAAGCACUUCCAGGCAAAGACUCGGACUACCGUGUCUCAUCCAAUGAACUGCUACAGUUGGCAGGCCUGACAGACAGCUAUAGAAUAUUAAAGAUGUUCAUACACGAACACUAUUUGGUGUCAACAGAAAACCAAGAAUACUCACACAACAUAUCAACACAGGCGUGCUACCACAGCCAAGACAUUAGAAGAUGAAACGGGACUUGUAGGACUCUAAGCAAGUUGAGAAUGGCUAGACGUACAGCUUCGAAGACCAAACCAGCGGGAACAAAAAGAGGAAACGACUUCAUCGGUGGGCUACCAGGAUUGAGCAGUGCGUCGCUCCAGUGUAAAUCGGGAGGCUUGCUCCCUCGCCACUGAGGUGUCCUCUCUUCGACAGUUCUCAGGAUUUAUUAGCACCUCACCCCGUCGUCCACCUGCAGGCUCUCCUAUCUAUCAGCCCAUAAGUUUCACAGUCUACCACUUCAGUAUAUGAGAAAAUCAAAAGGAACCAAUUCGGUGGAACGACCUGGUUCCGGCUAAGAUUAAAAAUUACCUUCCAUCAAUUAACUGGGGUGAGGCAUGGAUAUGUAGAUCAAAGAAUCCAAAAUAUGUUUGAGAGUUAGUUAGACGUACACGUACCUGUAUGUAUAUAACAUGUAGACAGCUACAGAAUAUUAAAAAUGUUCAUACACGAACACUAUUUGGUGUCAACAGAGAACCAAGAAUACUCACACAACAGAUCAAACACAGGCGUGCUUCCAUAGCCAAGACAUUAGAAGAUGAAACAGGACUUGUAGGACUCUAAGCAAGUUGAGAAUGGCUAGAUGUACAGCUUCGAAGACCAAACCAGUGGGAACAAAAAGAGGAAACGACUUAAUUCGGUGAAACGCUAGCUGAGAUUAGCGAUUAAUAAAUUAAACCUCACCACAUCCGUUUGCUCACAUCUUCCUCAACCCCCUCACAGCCGCCAUCACAUUUGGCCAUGCUGUCCUGCCUUCUGCCCCCCAUAGUCGCCACACGUCAUAUCUUCUCAUCUCUUCCUCUCGAAUCGAUCAACCAACAGGUGGAAGGAGUCGAGCAGCCAUCCGGCUAUCGGGGCAACUACAUGUGCUAGCGGCGGCGGGAAUGGGAGCGUAGGAGAUCGGCAGAUUUGUUAGACGGAUCAAGAAGACAGGCCGUGGGGAGGCAUACGACGGGUUGGGAAUUAAAAGGUGGAAGUGGAAGUGAAAGGGAAGGGGAAGGGGAAGGGGAAAUUUUUGUGAGAUCGGUUGACUUGCGAGAGCGCAGAAUCAGGGAGAGAUAGAGGACACUCCUAAGGCCAGAUUGGGCACGCUCUCUCUUGGGCCCUGCCGGCAG
rnacentral:lncRNA from 1 species